AGCAGCAUGGCGCAGUUGGAAGCGCGCGGGGCCCAUAUCUUGAGUAUUUGAAUGGAUAACCGAAACCCCGAGGUCACUUGAUCGAAACAAGUUGCUGCUA